GCCCCGGUGGCUCAUCUGGUAGAGUGCAUGCCAUGUACGCAGCGGCCCUGGUUCAAAUCCAGCCUGGGAUU